CAAACCAACAUCUGUACCGUGACCUCUGGGACAGUAGAAAGGACAGCAACCCUGAAACAGCAAGAUCCGGUCCAGGGUUCUCCAAGCAGUGAGGUGUCCAUCCCAUGCAGUGUCUCUCAGUCUGACCUCCUGACCUUUAACCUCACCUGGAGGUUCAACCAGAUAGACACCAUCCUCAACUCUACCUACACAAAGGGCACAUCUCAGAUGUAUAUUGAUGACCAGUGGAAGGAGCAGGUUCAGAAUUUGUCUGACUCUGGCAGCCUUCAGCUCCACAAGCUAACCAUGGUCCACCAGGGAAUCUACAGCUGUGAACUCUCUACUGCCAGAGACACACACCUGGUCCUCACCUACCUGGAGAUCACACCUGAUAAACUCUCUGAUGUUUCAGAUGGACUGGGUCGACAUGCAAUUGGUGAUAUAAUAAAAGCAGCAGUGAUUAUAGCAGCAGUGAUUAUAGCAGCAGUGAUUAUAGCAGCAGUGAUAUGUUACCGACAGAGAGGUAAAUUAUUAUGAUGAUGACAUCAUAAUCUGUUGAACCAUUUAACACAACCACCUCCUGAUGGACAGAGAGGAGGGUUACAUU